UUACGGCCACAUCACGUUGAAACACAGGUUCCUGUAUGAUCACUGAAGUUAAGCAACGUCGAGCUUGGUCAGUACUUAGAUGAGUGACCGCUUGUAAG